rnacentral:rRNA from 1 species
GACUACAUGAAGCUGGAAUCGCUAGUAAUCGCAGGUCAGCAUACUGCGGUGAAUACGUUCCCGGGUCUUGUACACACCGCCCGUCACACCAUGGGGAGCCGGAAAUGCCCGAAGCCAGUGACCCAACCUUAGGGAGGGAGCUGUCGAAGGUGGAGCCGGUAACUGGGGUGAAGUCGUAACAAGGUAAC